GGAAAUUGUAUUCACAUAAAUUCUCUCCAGUUACCUUUACACCUUUGUGGCUUGCUCCUUAAAGCUCGUCCCAUACUCAAUAUAUAUUUGUUUCUCAUCUACUGAUUUGAUCAUCAGAGUGCUCUCGGCUGCCUCCCUCACCACUGGAGAAAGCCACGGAUGACUUACGAUUUGUCCAAGGAAAGGAGCUUACGUGGAUGCAAGUUAACUCCAGAUCUGUUGGUCAUGUGGAGGUACAUUUUUCGAGAUCAACAGAACAUAAACUCUUAGUCACUAAUUGGAAAACCCAACAAAAUUCGACAUUGACAUUGUGUCCAAUUUCGACUCCUAAUUCUGAAAAUCGAAUUUUUCCCACACGAAUAAAUUACAAAGUUGACAAAUUUUUUCUAAGAAUAUCUCCAGCAAUUCUCAAUAUUUUAGACAGCAUACUUUUCUUUAUAGAGAGCAUUGGAUUUUCAAAAAUAAAGAUCUAAUUUAUUUAUUUAUUUUUGGAAGAAAUGUUAACUAACGAAUAACUUUUGGAUAAGCAGAAUUUAAGCAAGUUGUUGGAAUUUGCUUGGCGUAAGCUUUAUGCUUUAAGAUUACAUUUUCAGGUUCAAUCAUGCUAUAUGUACAUCAUUGUUCACACUUAAAUUGACAUUACAGUGAGUUGGUAGAUUUCUAGACAUUUAUUUUAACAACACUUUUUUCAAACAACGGCUAGAUUUUGACACAUUGGAAUGUCAAACAAGAUCUACAAAUUUGAAUUUACAAAUAGUUGAAAGAAUAUAACUCAUGAUUUUUUUAUGUGAGAUUAGAUAUAAUAGAUUUAUAUAAGAUAAUGUAUUUGACCUUAAUUUAUAUAAGAAAAAAUAAACGCACUACCAAGAAUGCAUAGAUUCAUCCACACGUUCUCUAGUCACAACCACUAUUUUACAUGUCUAAAUAGAAGAAUCGUACAUCUUCCAUCGAUAUCAACAAUCUGCAUGUGAUUGUCACAGUACGAAGAUGUUUGGAAUUUUGUUUUCAGUGUGACAAGAAAUUUUUUUGGUUAUUUUUUACUAUAUUUAUGUUAACGUAUUCAAGUGACAUGCUAUAGGGUUUUGGUGUUUGUACACGGAGCUAUCACGACCCCUUCUCAAGAGGGGACUAUAUUAGUUGUGACCUAUAUUAUAUAGUUCAUGUAUAUAAUAACGUGUGAAGUCAAAAACAAAUUUAGAAAUAGUGUACUCUACGGUUCACACGUAUAACCAAUGUGACGUUAUUUUCCUCCCUAAAAUCAAUGUGUGUCCUAUGUUGUCUAAUGUGUGACCAUUGUCAGGACUCUUAAUUUGGUGAAUGAGAAAUUAAGUCAAAUGUAAGCCGCUUAAUAUUUGAAAUUGCUGAAAAAUUGUAUAAAAUAUUAUGAAAUAUUCUAGAAAAAGAUGGAUGAAAAUAUGUGUCUUUUCAUAUGAAUCCAAUAAUUAUGAAUUUCAAGAGGUGUCUCUUGAUAUGGGCAUGUCUUUUGAUAUACCUUUCCAACUACUAUAUAUUGACAUCAUGUGUUUGGAUUUUAUAAUUUAAAACAAUUCAAGAAAUUCAAUCCAUAAUUCCAUAUAAUUUCAUUCCAUGCUUAGAUAGUUUACAUAAAACUCUGACAUCAAAGUCAUGGUUAUGGUAGAGGGGGAACUCCGUUCGAGUUCGUUGGCCUAAGCCAUUUGAAGUGCUCCCAUGGCUCGACAUAGUUGUUGUAUCUUGAGAGAUGAUUGUCGAAAAAUUGUUAGCAUUGAUGCAAGGCAAAUUCAUCUUAAGGACAAAGUGUCCAACACUUGCCUCGGCCAAUCGCAUCUCUCCUUGAUUCUUUCUAAUUUCUUCUUUCAUAUUUGAUUUCAGAAAAUUAAUAAUAUUCUUUUGAUUUCAUGUAGGUUUGAAAUAAAGAAUGAAAAUGAUUGAAUCUAUCGUUUCAUCUUUCCAAAUCCAUUUCGAUUUGAAAUAAAGAAUGGAAAUGAUUGAAUCUGUCAUUUCAUCUUCCCAAAUCCAUGUAUCUUGGGAGAUGAUUGUCGAAAAAUUGUUAGCACCGAUGCGGAGCAAAUUCAUCUUAAGGACAAAGUGUCCAACACUUGCCUCGACCAAUUGCAUCUCUCUGUGUUUCUUUCUGAUUUCUUCCUUCAUAUUUGCUUUCAGAAUAUUAAUAACAUUCUUUUGAUUUCAUGUAGGUUUGAAAUAAAGAACGAAAAUGAUUGAAUUUGUCAUUUCAUCUCCCCAAAUCCAUUUCGGUUUGAAACAAAAGAAUGGAAAUGAUUGUAUCUGUCGUUUCAUCUUCCCAAAUGCAUUUCGGUAAGAUGAAACCACGUUUCGAUUUCAUGAACAUCAAUGGUAUGUUUUGUGAAUAUAAUAUGCACAAUAUCGG
rnacentral:lncRNA from 1 species